rnacentral:sRNA from 1 species
GCACCGGCAAAAUCCGGUGUCAGAAUUGGCGUUCUGAAUAUACAAACGGCGACACAUGACGCGCCCUGCGUCUUUUUU